rnacentral:rRNA from 1 species
GUCGAGCGGUAAGGCCUUUCGGGGUACACGAGCGGCGAACGGGUGAGUAACACGUGGGUGAUCUGCCCUGCACUCUGGGAUAAGCUUGGGAAACUGGGUCUAAUACCGGAUAUGACUACAGCAUGCAUGUGUUGUGGUGGAAAGAUUUAUCGGUGCAGGAUGGGCCCGCGGCCUAUCAGCUUGUUGGUGGGGUAAUGGCCUACCAAGGCGACGACGGGUAGCCGACCUGAGAGGGUGACCGGCCACACUGGGACUGAGACACGGCCCAGACUCCUACGGGAGGCAGCAGUGGGGAAUAUUGCACAAUGGGCGGAAGCCUGAUGCAGCGACGCCGCGUGAGGGAUGAAGGCCUUCGGGUUGUAAACCUCUUUCAGCAGGGACGAAGCGUGAGUGACGGUACCUGCAGAAGAAGCACCGGCUAACUACGUGCCAGCAGCCGCGGUAAUACGUAGGGUGCGAGCGUUGUCCGGAAUUACUGGGCGUAAAGAGUUCGUAGGCGGUUUGUCGCGUCGUUUGUGAAAACCCGGGGCUCAACUUCGGGCUUGCAGGCGAUACGGGCAGACUUGAGUGUUUCAGGGGAGACUGGAAUUCCUGGUGUAGCGGUGAAAUGCGCAGAUAUCAGGAGGAACACCGGUGGCGAAGGCGGGUCUCUGGGAAACAACUGACGCUGAGGAACGAAAGCGUGGGUAGCAAACAGGAUUAGAUACCCUGGUAGUCCACGCCGUAAACGGUGGGCGCUAGGUGUGGGUUCCUUCCACGGGAUCUGUGCCGUAGCUAACGCAUUAAGCGCCCCGCCUGGGGAGUACGGCCGCAAGGCUAAACUC